ensembl:lncRNA
UAUCGCUUCUUGCAACUCCAGGAGGUACACACAGAAAGUUUCAGACUAAUAUCUGGAAGGACAACACUCUCACGGCGGGUAUCCUGCCGACUACGCCAUAAAAAAAUUGUCUCGCUCCAAUUUAUAGGAGGGAGAGGAGGUUCUUUGAAAUAUGUAUGCCCGGCGUGAGAUUAAGAAACAACGGUUCAAAUGUUGGUCCGACCAGUUUAUUACAAAUGUUAAUAAGGGAGAUGGGGAAAGGAGAGGACGGACGCUAUUAAGGAUUGGGGUGAUGGGGAAGGGAAGGCAAGCGAUAGAAAAGAUAGAAAGAGGCAAGAAUUGCGUAAAGCGGGGAUAGUCACCAGCAGGAUCCAGCAGCAGUCCCGUUGCACGAUGUUCCGACGGUCUGAGGCCAAAGGGCAGGAGCAGCGAGGCCGGUCUUGGGCAACGAGAGGGUGCAGGUCAGGGAGGAAGCAGCAGGUCUCAGGUAGCAGGCCCAGGGAAGUCCGUCAGCAAACGGUCCGUAGAGAAGGAUCGGAAGGCAGGAAGCUCGUGUCGUGGUGAGAGAUCAUGAAAGAUCAGCCUCUGUGUUGCGGUGAGAGAUCAGCCUCCACCGUUGUGGUGAAGGAUCAGAUGGCAGAGAACCCCUCAAGUCUGUCGUGGUGAGAGAUAAGCCUCCACCGUUGCCGUGGUUGUGGUGAAGGAUCAGCUUCCACCGUUGUGGUUAUUGGACCCUCUUUUAUCCUCCAUUUUCUGCUGCCUACGUGACAUUCCUGGGGGCUUGAGCAAGAGUCCUGUGCAUACCUCCUGAGAUGGCCAUUUUCCUUGAGAUAAGUCCACACAAAAAGACCGUUUCCCGGCCAUUAGCGGCAGCUUAUCUCUCUCUCGAUGCCCCUGGCCUUGUCCAUCUGUGCUCCUUAAAGGAUUUCACAAUCCUUAGCCAGGACCUGUCCAUCAGUGUCCUCAAGACAAAAGAUUUCUCUGCCUUUGCCCAGGACUUGCCUGGACUUGUUCCUCAGCAAACUUUGAGUCAAUGAUAUAAAAGAAUUGUCUCUUACAC